AUUGAACGCUGGCGGCAGGCCUAACACAUGCAAGUCGAGCGAGCGGCGGACGGGUUAGUAAUGUAUGGGGAUCUGCCCGAUCGAUGGGGUCAACUACUGGACACGGUUGCUAAUUCCGUCUAUUAUCGGCUGAACCCGAUUGGGAUUAGCUUGUAGGUGGGGUAAAGGCUCACCAAGGCGACGAUCUCUAGCUGGUCUGAGAGGAUGAUCAGCCAAACUGGGACGGAGAAACGGCCCAGACUCCGACGGGAGGCAGCAGUGGGGAAUAUUGGACAAUGGGCGCAAGCCUGAUGCAGCCAUGCCGCGUGUAUGAAGAAGGCCUUAGGGUUGUAAAGUACUUUCAGCGGGGAGGCGUUACCCGCAGAAGAAGCACCGGCUAACUCCGUGCCAGCAGCCGCGGUAAUUC
rnacentral:rRNA from 1 species